AAGGGGAAAAGCGAAGGCCGCCCGCCUAUCGGCGAAACGCGCUGGAGGGCCUGCGAGGAGGCUGUUGCCGCCGCAGCAGGACCGAAGCGUCGCGAGCCGAUGGCGGCCGGAGCUAGACAGGACGAAAAGCGGAGGCGAGCGUUUCGCCGCGAUGGGCAAAUGUUCUUCGCCUAGAGGGAUGUUUACAUCCCGAAGGCGAAGGUUAUUUGACCCCGAGCGGCGGCGGGCCGGAGCUAGACAGAAUUUCUUGACAAAACCUAUCAGUUUGAUUAUAAUGACGCUUGUCGUUUUGUUUAGUUUUGAGGGAACUUUCCCUCCAUGGGCCUAUAGCUCAGCUGGUCAGAGCGCACGCCUGAUAAGCGUGAGGUCGGUGGUUCAAGUCCACUUAGGCCCAUCGGUUGCGGGGCCUUAGCUCAGCUGGGAGAGCGCCUGCUUUGCACGCAGGAGGUCAUCGGUUCGAUCCCGAUAGGCUCCACCACUUUUCUUGAUUCGUUCCUUGAAAACUAGAUAACCGGAAAAGCGGAGGCGAGUGUUUCGCCGCGAUGGGCAAAUGUUCUUCGCCCGCAGGGGUGCUGGCACCCCGAGGGGGAAGGCUAUUUGACCCCGAGCGGCGGCGAGCCGACGCUAGACAAUAAGGAAGAAGCCGAGAGCGCUGUA
rnacentral:tRNA from 1 species